rnacentral:misc_RNA from 1 species
AACGCAUCUCGCGCUCCUUGGUAUUCCUUGGAGCAUGCCUGUUUGAGUGUCUUUUAAACUUCUCCAUCCUAGCGGCGGUCGUCUUGGACGUCGCCGCUCGGGAUGGGAUCGUGGAGGUUGUCGGCGCGCGCCCCUGGCGAGAGCCGUCCUUCGAAAUCCAGUCGAGCACGUCCUAUCUCUUGCGUGAUCGUAUUCUGACGUUGUAAUCGCUUUUGCGUUCCUCGUUGGGUCUCGAUCUGUAAGUGGCGGCUACAUAAUCAUCGACACGUCUCUACGAGUCCAGCGAUUUUGGACCUCAAAUCAGGUAGGAUUACCCGCUGAACUUAA